rnacentral:piRNA from 1 species
UCUAUUUAGGGANCUUCAACCUUAGUGGA